rnacentral:rRNA from 1 species
UACGGAGGGUGCUAGCGUUGUUCGGAAUUACUGGGCGUAAAGCGCGUGUAGGCGGUUGGGUAAGUCAGAUGUGAAAUCCCUUGGCUUAACCAAGGAAGGGCAUUUGAAACUGCUCGGCUUGAGUACGGGAGGGGGAAGCGGAAUUCCCGGUGUAGAGGUGAAAAUCGUAGAUAUCGGGAGGAACACCAGUGGCGAAGGCGGCUUCCUGGACCGAUACUGACGCUGAGACGCGAAAGCGUCGGGAGCAAACAGG